GACGAACGCUGGCGGCGUGCUUAACACAUGCAAGUCGAACGGAAAGGCCCUGCUUUUGUGGGGCGCUCGAGUGGCGAACGGGUGAGUAACACGUGAGUAACCUGCCCUUGACUUUGGGAUAACUUCAGGAAACUGGGGCUAAUACCGGAUAGGAGCUCCUGCUGCAUGGUGGGGGUUGGAAAGUUUCGGCGGUUGGGGAUGGACUCGCGGCUUAUCAGCUUGUUGGUGGGGUAGUGGCUUACCAAGGCUUUGACGGGUAGCCGGCCUGAGAGGGUGACCGGCCACAUUGGGACUGAGAUACGGCCCAGACUCCUACGGGAGGCAGCAGUGGGGAAUAUUGCACAAUGGGCGGAAGCCUGAUGCAGCAACGCCGCGUGCGGGAUGACGGCUUUCGGGUUGUAAACCGCUUUCGCCUGUGACGAAGCGUGAGUGACGGUAAUGGGUAAAGAAGCACCGGCUAACUACGUG
rnacentral:rRNA from 1 species